UGCACUAACUGUGACCACAACACUUGAUAGGAUGCAUCUUUUUGAAAACCUAAAGGCAUCUGCAGAUUUUUAAUGCACUGCUGCCUGUCUUGAGCAAAUUGUUAUGGGUGCAUUGUCUCACUCAGUACCAAACAGAGCACACCCGUAAGGAGAAAGUGCAGUACACCGAUGUAGCAAAACAGUUCACUAGAGUGUCUGCCAGAGUAUGACAAGAAAUUAUGCAGCUAGUGACUUUUAGCUAGGGCUUAGUUUCUGAACAAAACUUCGGAUACACCAGAUAGAACAUUUCCUACAGUGUUCAGAGGCUACAGCAAAUCUAAGAUGCGGCAGAAAGCGAACGAACAAGCACAAGUGCUUUCGAAACAAGGAAAGUACACAAAACAAUGCCCUCAAGGAUCACAAUCGUGACUGAAAAUUAAAAAAGAAAAAAAAAAGUAACAAUUAUGCAACAUUCUCAAAAUCGCAGUUUU
rnacentral:lncRNA from 1 species